UACGUAGGGACCAAGCGUUGUUCGGAUUUACUGGGCGUAAAGAGCGCGCAGGCGGUCGUUCAAGUCGCGUGUGAAAGCCCCCGGCUCAACUGGGGAGGGUCACGCGAUACUGAUCGACUCGAAGGCAGGAGAGGGUAGUGGAAUUCCCGGUGUAGUGGUGAAAUGCGUAGAUAUCGGGAGGAACACCAGUGGCGAAGGCGACUACCUGGCCUGUUCUUGACGCUGAGGCGCGAAAGCUAGGGGAGCAAACGGG
rnacentral:rRNA from 1 species